rnacentral:rRNA from 1 species
UACGGAGGGUGCAAGCGUUGUCCGGAUUUAUUGGGUUUAAAGGGUGCGUAGGAGGACUGGUAAGUCAGUGGUGAAAUCCCCGAGCUUAACUUGGGAACUGCCGUUGAUACUAUCAGUCUUGAAUACCGUGGAGGUGAGCGGAAUAUGUCAUGUAGCGGUGAAAUGCUUAGAUAUGACAUAGAACACCAAUUGCGAAGGCAGCUCGCUACACGAAUAUUGACUCUGAGGCACGAAAGCGUGGGGAUCAAACAGG